AACCAUCAAAAAUAAUUAAGCGGCCUUAUUACAGUUAAAAACCUAAAACUUCAAACGUAAAUAAAAGGAUGUCCAGUUCACCAGAAGAAAAUCAAACUUUCAGAACGGGUGGCCACUCCGAAUUCCCUCACAACUCCAAGCCCACUAUGGUUGGGGAUUUCCUGCGUGGAUGAAAAUAAAAAGGGUGAGUUUGGGGAAACUCAGUGUGUAAGGAAAACCCAUUCAAAGCCCAAGUCAGCUCAAGCCCAUUGGGCCUAAGCCCAUUCAGGUAACAGUGGUACUGGGCCAGAGCCCUUUUCAGAUUACAAUAAACUGGGCCUUAGCCCCUUAUUCAGAUAACAGUAUGGCCCAUAGGCCCAUUUGGAAAUACAUGCAACAUCAAUAAACAUAUGCAAGCCCAUUUGGGGAGACUACUCAACCCACCAACCACUAUACUCCACCCGUACCAGCCAUACACUCCAUGUGGGGAAUAGCUCAACCCACCCAGCCUAACACUCCACAGUUGCAGCCUUGCUGCUCAGUUAACAGUAAAUUGAGGCAAAGCCUCCAGUAUGUGGACAAGCCACUUUCAGUACUUCCUCCGUCAAUAUCCCAAUCCCAUGCAUCAGAUAAUAACAACAUGGCAUGCAGUAAAUAACAACAGUCAAACAUGCAUUUAGGUCAAUUUAACCCUAGGGGUAUUUCGGUAAUUUAUCUCUUAGGGGUAAAACUGUAAAUUUUCCACUUUUAAAGGUAUUUCAGUAAUUUAUCUAUUUUAGGGUUUUUCAUGCAUAUUCCUACUUUUCACGUACUAACAGAAUCACGUACCGAGGGUUCUUACCGAAUUGGGCCUGUUGGCCCAUCAUUCCAAUUUUGGCCCAUUAAGCCCAAAAAUAUCGAGGGCACAGAAAUCAUGCACUUUGCAGUCCAAAUUUUGCAGCUUACCAAAAACAUUAAUCGAUUUACCUCACGAGCAUUCGCACACUCGCAAAUCUAAAAAAAUACCGAUUUUCGGUAUUUCAGCUUUUCGACUUUUGCCGAUCCAGACUAAGAAAGAGGGUGUUAGUUACACACCUGUUUGCGACGAUAUGCUGACGAGAUCCACACACGAACUGCCUACAAUUGGAUUACUAACAAGUUAAUCUAACUAUUCAAAUACAAACUACGUAUUAACCCCUUACAAUAUUCGGCCAACCACACCUACAGAUCAUAGUAAGCUUAUAAGAAAACAAUAAGCAACUCAUUAACAAAUUUUUGUCAAUGUUUACCACAUAAUCAUAAUUUCACUGCAAGCUGUCUUCCUGAGCAACAGUCACUAAAUCAUUUAUAACUGGAGCUACGAAACUCCAAAUCAAGUUCCGUUAAUUUUCCUUGAAGAUAGACUCAUAUAUAUUCUAUCCAUAAAAUUUUCAGAAUUUUUGGUUUAGCCAAUCAAUACCAGAUUUUUCUCAAAGUUUCCCAUGUUUCACUGUUUGACUAAUCUGACCACUCUUCAUUACGAAUCAAAUUUCUCAUUGUACAGAAUUAAAAAUAUGUUCUAGUUUAUUUCAUUAGAAACUAUACUUAAUAAGCUUUAAUUACAUAAUUUAUUCAGCUUCUAAUUCAUCUCCCACAAUUUAUGGUGAUUUUCCAAAGUCACGUUACUGCUGCUGUCCCAAGCAAAUUUAUUACCAAAUCACUCUUUCACACAUACCUUGCAUGCAUGUUAUUUAAACAUGUAUAUCACCAAUCAAUCAUCACAUAUCUAUGAUUUUACUUAAGUAUAAUCUCCAUUUCAUCAUUUUAAAGCACAACAUGUUAGCUGAUUUUUCCCUUUAACAUCUAAGGCACAUGCAUGCUCAUUUGUUUGGCUUAACUUCACCUAUCUUCCAUUUUUCAUCAAAAGAACAUGAAACAACAACAAUUUCCUUCAUUUUAAUUCAUGACUAAAUGCUCACAACACAACUAAAAAUCAAAAUAUACUUCAAGAGUUAAGGUAGAAUCAAGAAGAACUCAUGAACCUCAAAAUAGAAGCAAGGUACCAAGAACUUACCUUUAAUUUUCCUCUUCCUAAUGACCGAAUACUCAAGAGCUUUCUCCUCUCCUUUCUCUUCUCUAACUUUCAGCUAUGAUGAACAAAGAUGGACAAAACUUUGUUCUUUUC
rnacentral:lncRNA from 1 species